AAGUCGUAACAAGGUCUCCGUUGGUGAACCAGCGGAGGGAUCAUUAUAGAGUUACCAAACUCCAAACCCCUGUGAACGUACCACUUGUUGCCUCGGCAGGUCGUCCUACCCCGUAACGCUGUUACCCUGUAAGAGCCUACCCGGUAGUACAUCUCCGGCCUGCCGAAGGACUAUCAAACUCUAGCUUAUUUACGCAUCUCUGAACACAUAACUAAAUAAGUUAAAACUUUCAACAACGGAUCUCUUGGUUCUG
rnacentral:misc_RNA from 1 species